rnacentral:rRNA from 1 species
CGAAAGUCUGACGGAGCAACGCCGCGUGAGUGAUGAAGGUUUUCGGAUCGUAAAACUCUGUUGUUAGGGAAGAACAAGUACCGUUCGAAUAGGGCGGUACCUUGACGGUACCUAACCAGAAAGCCACGGCUAACUACGUGCCAGCAGCCGCGGUAAUACGUAGGUGGCAAGCGUUGUCCGGAUAUUGGGCGUAAAGCGCGCGCAGGCGGUUUCUUAAGUCUGAUGUGAAAGCCCCCGGCUCAACCGGGGAGGGUCAUUGGAAACUGGGGAACUUGAGUGCAGAAGAGGAGAGUGGAAUUCCACGUGUAGCGGUGAAAUGCGUAGAGAUGUGGAGGAACACCAGUGGCGAAGGCGACUCUCUGGUCUGUAACUGACGCUGAGGCGCGAAAGCGUGGGGAGCGAACAGGAUUAGAUACCCUGGUAGUCCACGCCGUAAACGAUGAGUGCUAAGUGUUAGAGGGUUUCCGCCCUUUAGUGCUGCAGCAAACGCAUAAGCAUCCGCCUGGGGAGUACGGUCGCAAGACUGAAACUCAAAGGAAUUGACGGGGGCCCGCACAAGCGGUGGAGCAUGUGGUUUAAUUCGAAGCAACGCGAAGAACCUUACCAGGUCUUGACAUCCUCUGACAACCCUAGAGAUAGGGCUUCCCCUUCGGGGGCAGAGUGACAGGUGGUGCAUGGUUGUCGUCAGCUCGUGUCGUGAGAUGUUGGGUUAGUCCCGCAACGAGCGCACCCUUGAUCUUAGUUGCCAGCAUUCAGUUGGGCACUCUAAGUGACUGCCGGUGACAAACCGGAGGAAGUGGGGAUGACGUCAAUCAUCAUGCCCUUAUGACCUGGGCUACCCACGUGCUACAAUGGACAGAAC